UCUCUCUCUCCUCCCUCCCCUACUGCAGCGAGCGGCGGCGGCCGGCCGGCAAGGCGCGACGGCGGCGCGCCCUCUCUCUCCUCCCUCCCCUUGCUGCGGCGAGCGGCGAAGGCGGGUCGGCAAGGCGCACACUGCGGUGCGCCCUCUCUCUACUCCCUCCCCUUGCUGCGGCGAGCGGCGGCGGCGGCGAGUAGCCGCCGGUGCGGACCAGCUCGGCUCCCUACACAGCAUUUGAUCGGGGCAGCAUUAGGACUGGUUCAAGAAGCGGCGAGCAAUCGGGCGAAGAGAGAGGUGGCUCGCCGAUGCACAGCCGCAUCAGCGAACUCCGGCCGAUGUCGCGGAUAACCAGGCGGCCGAUGAGCGGCGACAUGGGUGUGUUCAGGGAUGAUGGAUCGAGCUAUGGUUUAGACAACGACGUGCCGACGUCUGCUGCCGCGAGCUACCGCCGCCGGGCGUCGCCUCUGAGCUCCCAAGAACUGGAGGAAUCUGUAGACCUCCCAUUGACGUUCUGAUGCUGUCUGCCUCCCAAUUUCAGCCUGAAAUACAUAAAUAAGAGAGUAAAUACAAAUUCAUUUUGAACCCUCUCUGGAUAAUCUGUGAUUCUUACAGUCAUAUAAUAGAAUUAUUAUGUGAUGUAGCUCGGCAGCAUAUUGCACAAGCAGCUUAUUGCCCAAGAACUAUCGUCGUCGUCGAUGGGGUCGUCGGGAUACCAACCGUCCGAGGCAUCGUCGUCGUCAUUGUACGAAUCAUCCGGCGCGGCGAGGUCGCCGUUGACGGACCCGGUGUUCCAGAGGGACCUGCUGCAGGCGCUGGACAACCUUCGGAGGGUCAUCGCUGCAGUUGAGCAGUCGUACGGCGUCGAGGCGCACCUGCAACAAGCCGGCAUGCUUCCCAAGAGCGCGUCCUGCAACGACGCCGACGCCGGCGGCGGCGACGCGUACGCAGCAGUCACGCGGCGCAACUCCCGCCUCAUGCGCCGCCUCGAGUCGCAGCUCGUGCAGGCGCUGCCCCGGGACGGCCGCCGCUCGCCCUACUCCAUCGGCCGGAGAGAGGGAAGGGAUAGAGAGAAGAGGGGAGAGAGAGGAUAGAGAAGAGAGAAGAGUGAGGAUGGCAUAU
rnacentral:lncRNA from 1 species